AUGCCCCACGUGGGUGGGGUGCAGGGGGCAUGGGGGAGCUGCCACCUGGAGUGUCCAGGCAGGGGCUCACAUGAUCAUAGUGGGACCUUCAGGGUCAGACUAAGCAGAGGUGACGCAGGGAGCCGAGAAAAUGAUGAGCCCAAGGAACACUCUGGAAGAAGUCAAAAGAAGCAAAUUCCCAAGUUCUGGAGGCUGAGAAGUCCAAGGUCAAGGUGUUGGAGAUUCCGUGUCUGGGGAGGGCAGCUCUCUGCUAAUGGUGUCUGUCUUUUGAGGGCUCUUUCCCCUUCUGUGCCCAACUCUGAGGUUCUGUCCCACAUCUGGGGGCCCGUGGGCUCCUCACCACCAGGUAACUGAGACGCAGACCCCCAGAGGCCAACUCUUCUGCCACUUCCCGAGGGCUUCUGCUGAGACCCCUGGAAGGGGGCUGGGCACAGAUGUGUCUUGGAGGCCACAGCUACCCAUCUGGCAGGUGCCUGUGGUCCUACCCAGCAGAGCUGCGCUGAGCAGGAGCCCCCAUGAGAGGCAGCCCCUGUGGCCACCCCAGCCCUCACAGGGAGGCUGAGCGUUGCUCCACAUGGUGCCACCAGGCUUGGCCCUCCACCACGGCCACGCAGGGUCUGGCAGCGGCAGGGGCAGGUGUGGGCCUGGCUCAUCCCCCAUGUUGACAAGCACUCGAUUUGUACUCAGGUCUCAGUGACAGAAAAGCUGAAGCUAAUGGGAAAAAUACGACUCUCUCCACAGGAGCAGGCAAGGUGCAGAUGCAGGAGUGCCGGCGUCCUUGCCUCAAACAAAUGCGAUUCCGCGCAGGCUCCCAUGGCAACUGCCCGCUCCGGGCUGUGCGUGCUGACCUGGGCUGGAAUCGGGAGCAGUCGCUGUGUCACGGGGAAUCUGCUGGUUUGCUGACAGCCCCAAGGACCCGGACACAGGGCCAGCUCUCCAUGCCUUGGCCCCGGGAUCUGGGAGGCCCUCUAGGGGCCAGCGCUUACCCCAACCCCACUGAGCAUCUCCUCCCCACCCUCCCCUGUGUCUACCCAAGACCCCGGAGUUUGUGAGCGCUGCCUGGCAGGAAGGCGUCUGGCUCAUAGACAGGGGUUAGUUGGCAGCUUAGCGUCCCCAACGAUGUCUACAUCCUGACGGGAACCUGUGACUACCUGGCUCGGGGAAUCUGGGUUGCAGAUGAAAUGAAGGUUGGAUCAGCUGAUCUUAAAAACUAGGGAAGUGAUCCUGGAGCACCCUGGGGGGCCACUGUAAUCACAAGGUCCUUAAAAGUGGAGGAAGGGCGGGCACAGGGCUCACAUCUGCAAUCCCAGGGCUUUAGGAAGCCGAGGCAGCAGGAUCCCCUGAAUUCAAAGAGUUCGGGCCGGGUGCAGUGGCUCAAGCCUGUAAUCCCAGCACUUUGGGAGGCUGAAGCAGGUGGAUCACAAGGUCAAGAGAUUGAGACUAUCCUGGUCAACAUGGUGAAACCCCAUCUCUACUAAAGAUACAAAAAAUUAGCUGGGCAUGGUGGCGCAUGCCUGUAAUCCCAGCUACUCAGGAGGCUGAGGCAGGAGAAUUGCCUGAACCCAGGAGGUGGAGGUUGCAGUGAGCCGAGAUCGAGCCAUUGCACUCCAGCCUGGGUAAUAAGAGCGAAACUCUGUCUCAAAAAAAAAAAGGGUUUGAAGCCAGCCUGGGCAACAUAGUGAGACCAAGUUCCAUCUACAAAAAGUAACAAAAAUUAGCCAGGCGUGGUGGUGCAUACCUGUGGUUCCAGCUACUCAGGAGGCUGAGGUGGGGGGAUUGCUUGAGCCCAGGAGGUCGAGGAUGCAGUGGCACCUGCACUUGGCCUGGGUGACAGUGAGACCCUGUCUCAAAAAAAAGAGUGGAGGAGGGAGGCAGGAGAGUCAGUGAGUGGGUGAGGACUGGCUCUGAAGAGAGGAAGGGGCUGGAGCCACGGGCUGCAGGCUGCCUCUGGGAGCUGGAACGGGUGAGGAAGGGGUCUGUCCGGGGCUUCCAGGGGAGUGCGGCCAAGACCUUCAUUUUAGCCCAGGGAGCCUGAUACUGAGCUGCCUUCGGUGAGACCAAGUCUGUUGUUCUCAGCCGCUGGCUUGUGGAGAUUGGUGGCUGCAGCCACAGGAAGCUUUGGGCAGAGUGGCUUUGUCAUUUUGGGGGCACAGGGGUCUGGAGGCCUGGGCUAUUCCCAAGUCCUGGCCCUCAGUUCUCUGCUGUGCCCCCACCCCUGGCCAUGACCCCCCCGGCCUCUGUGCACCUGCCUGUUCCACAGCAGCCACUGCUGCUGUCCCUGGCCUGGCUGAUCCCCGCACCAGCCCACCCUCCAAUGACCUUGUCAAGAGCCUCCAGAGGCGCUUUCCUGACCUCUGCUCCUCCCAGGGCCCAGGCUGCAGCAGAGCCAGCACCUCUCCUGGGACAAGGAAUGACAUGAACACAAGGAAUGCCCCAGACGGGCCAUUUAGUGCUGUGCUGAGCAGAGGGGACUUCCCAGAGGAGUCAUGAGCCCUGGGGGUGAGGCCGUGGUGGGUGGGGGCCCAGCGGGUAGCAGGUGCCCCCUCUGAAUGCACAGCGGGCUGGUGGCUCCACACAUCACCCUGGCAUUGAAAUCCCCAGCUGCCACUCCCACCAGCCUGCUCCGGUGCAACAGCCCUCUGUGCAUUCUGAGUGCGUGGCUCCCUGUGGGAAGCAGAAAAGCUCCUCUUUAAACUUUCCUUUCUAGUUAAAGAAUAAACCAUAAGUGUGCCAAUAACUCUUUGUGAAG
rnacentral:lncRNA from 13 species